ensembl:lncRNA
UUGUGGAUAUGUGGUGGUAUUGAACAUGUUGUGGAUAUGUGGUGGUAUUGAACAUGUUGUGGAUAUGUGGUGGUAUUAAACAUGUUGUGCUGUGGAUAUGUGGUGGUAUUGAUUAGGUUGUGGAUAUGUGGUGGCAUUGAACAUGUUGUGGAUAUGUGGUGGUAUUGAACAUGUUGUGGUAUUGAACAUGUUGUGGAUAUGUGGUGGUAUUGAACAUGUGGAUAUGUUGUGGUAUUAAACAUGUUGUGUUGUGGAUAUGCGGUUGUAUUGAACAUUUUGUGGUAUUGAACAUGUUGUGGAUAUGUGGUGGUAUUGAACAUGUUGUGUUGUGGAUAUGCUGUGGUAUUGAACAUGUGGUGGAUAUGUGGUGGUUUUGAACAUGUUGUGGACAUGUGGUGGUAUUGAACAUGUUGUGUUAUGGAUAUGUUGUGGUAUUGAACAUGUUGUGGAUAUGUGGUGGUAUUGAACAUGUGCUGUGGAUAUGUGGUGGUAUUGCACAUGUUGUGGAUAUGUGGUGGUAUUGAACAUGUUGUGGAUAUGUGGUGGUAUUGAACAUGUUGUGGAUAUGUGGUGGUAUUGAACAUGUUGUGGAUAUGUGGAGGUAUUGAACAUGUUGUGGAUACGUGGUGGUAUUGAACAUGUUGUGGAUAUGUGGUGGUAUUGAACAUGUUGUGGAUAUGUGGUGGUAUUGAACAUGUUGUGGAUAUGUGGUGGUAUUGAACAUGUUGUGGGUAUGUGGUGGUAUUGAACAUGUUGUGGAUAUGUGGUGGUAUUGAACAUGUUGUGGAUAUGUGGUGGUAUUGAACAUGUUGUGUUGUGGAUAUGUGCUGGUAUUGAACAUGUUGUGGAUAUGUUGUGGUAUUAAACAUGUUGUGUUGUGGAUAUGUGGUGGCAUUGAACAUGUAGUGGAUAUGUGGUGGUAUUGAACAUGUUGUGGAUAUGUGGUGGUAUUGAGCAUGUUGUGGAUAUGUGGUGGUAUUGAGCAUGUUGUGGAUAUGUGGUGGUAUUGAACAUGUUGUGGUAUUAAACAUGUUGUGGAUAUGUGGUGGUAUUGAACAUGUUGUGGAUAUGUGGUGGUAUUGAUUAUGUUGUGGAUAUGUGGUGGUAUUGAUUAUGUUGUGGAUAUGUGGUGGUAUUGAACAUGUGGCUAUGUUGUGGUAUUAAACAUGUUGUGUUGUGGAUAUGCGUUUGUAUUGAACAUUUUGUGGCAUUGAACAUGUUGUGGAUAUGUGGUGUUAUUGAACAUAUUGUGUUGUGGAUAUGUGGUGGUAUUGAACAUGUUGUGGUAUUGUACAUGUUGUGGAUAUGUGGUGGUAUUGAACAUGUUGUGGAUAUGUGGUGGUAUUGAACAUGUUGUGGAUAUGUGGUGGUAUUGAACAUGUUGUGGAUAUGUGGUGGUAUUGAACAUGUUGUGGAUAUGUGGUGGUAUUGAACAUGUUGUGUUGUGGAUAUGUGGUGGUAUUGAACAUGUUG